rnacentral:rRNA from 1 species
GGUCGAGGAUAUCACACUGCCCGCCACACAUGUUCCGAGCCCUUGCCUAAGUGGCGGCAUACCGACUGGCCGCUAAUGAUCGCUAAGGACGAAGUACGUCCGCUCAACGUCGGACGCUAGGCUUGACUCCUGUCCAAAAACCUCAAUCGAGUGGGAGCGCUCUAGCGCUGGGAAACAGGGCGGGUAACAUCGUGCACACAGCGGGUCCCGUAUUCCCCGUACUACUGAACCGGAGUAGGAGAGGAAGGAGGCCGAAUUGUGGCCGCCAGACAAGUCCCAAGGUUUGAGUAUCACCGUUGAUUUGUGCUCCCAACGCGAGCAACGCUCUGAAUUGGGUUGUGGAAUGCCGUGCUCGAUUGCUGUCGGUACGUGGUGGACACAGGCGCAAGGGUUCCCGUGGGGAGAGAAAGUUCUCCUAAGCGCCGUACAGUUCGGGACCAUUCCAAGAAGCGAAACGUAGCUUAAUUUGGUGUACGAGGUGACGAACACGCGGGGGGCAGUUAAGGAAACUCAAAGUAAGAACGCUUGCAUGAGGGGUCCGCCCUAUGAAUUACGCAAUCGAUGUCGUGACGUGCCCAGCUCAGCGUGUUGUGGAUCAUAGGUAGCAAAUGCCGAUCCUGAUGACCCCAGAGAUUAGGGUAAACGAGGGGAUCGAAAGCAGAGAGUCACAGUCACAGCCGGGUCGUCUCACGAAAGCGGCAACCACAAGAAAGGCUAGAGUUACGUAAAGUGGCGAGGUGGCCUUUAAGGGAGAAGGGGAUGGCAUGAGGUCGAACCAUCAAAGGUGGCGGACAGGUCCCAACUCGGGACCCUAAACUGCCACCUGAACUUUUCGGUGGAUGUCUGCGAAAUGCGGGUUAGUAAGGCCUAUUGCGAACGUAGGAGACAGAAUGGCGCCGACGACCGUGUCUCAAUCGG